rnacentral:rRNA from 1 species
AGCACGGGAGCAAUCCUGGUGGCGAGUGGCGAACGGGUGAGUAAUGUAUCGGAACGUACCUUUCAGUGGGGGAUAACGUAGCGAAAGUUACGCUAAUACCGCAUAUUCUGUGAGCAGGAAAGCAGGGGAUCGCAAGACCUUGCGCUGAUUGAGCGGCCGAUAUCAGAUUAGCUAGUUGGUGAGGUAAAGGCUCACCAAGGCGACGAUCUGUAGCGGGUCUGAGAGGAUGAUCCGCCACACUGGAACUGAGACACGGUCCAGACUCCUACGGGAGGCAGCAGUGGGGAAUUUUGGACAAUGGGCGCAAGCCUGAUCCAGCCAUGCCGCGUGAGUGAAGAAGGCCUUCGGGUUGUAAAGCUCUUUCAGCCGGGAAGAAAACGCAUGGGUUAAUACCCUGUGUGGAUGACGGUACCGGAAUAAGAAGCACCGGCUAACUACGUGCCAGCAGCCGCGGUAAUACGUAGGGUGCGAGCGUUAAUCGGAAUUACUGGGCGUAAAGCGUGCGCAGGCGGUUUGUUAAGAUAGGCGUGAAAUCCCCGGGCUCAACCUGGGAACUGCGUUUAUGACUGGCAGGCUAGAGUAUGGCAGAGGGGGGUGGAAUUCCACGUGUAGCAGUGAAAUGCGUAGAGAUGUGGAGGAACACCGAUGGCGAAGGCAGCCCCCUGGGCCAAUACUGACGCUCAUGCACGAAAGC